rnacentral:rRNA from 1 species
GACGAACGCUGGCGGCGCACCUAAGACAUGCAAGUCGAACGGCUCCGGCCUCUUCGGAGGCGGGGGUAGUGGCGGACGGGUGAGUAACACGUAGGGGACCUGCCUCGUGGUGGGGGAUACCGCCGGGAAACCGGCGCUAAGACCGCAUGAGACCGCGCGCAUAGCGGCGCGCGGGGAAAUGUUCGUUCUUUUCGGAGACGGACAGCGACGAGAGGGCCCUGCGGCGGAUUAGCUAGUUGGUGGGGUAAGGGCCUACCAAGGCGACGAUCCGUAGCUG